CCUACGGGUGGCAGCAGUGGGGAAUAUUGCGCAGUGGGCGAAAGCCUGAAGCAGCGACGCCGCGUGAGGGAUGAAGGUCUUCGGAUCGGAAACCUCCGUCAGUAGGGGAGAACGGUCACUGUGCUAAUCAGCAGUGAAUUGACGGUACCUGCAAAGGAAGCAUCGGCUAACUCCGUGCCACCAGCCGCGGCAAUACGGAGGGUUCGAGUGUUAAUCGGAAUUACUGGGAGUAAAGCGCUCGUAGGCGGUAUGUCAAGUGAAGGGUGAAAUCCCCGGGCUCAACGUGGGAACUGCCUUUGAUACUGGCAAACUUGAGUGUGUGAGAGGUAAGUGGAAUGCCAGGUGUAGCGGUGAAAUCCGUAGAUAUCUGGAAGAACACCAGUGGCGAAGGCGGCUAACUGGCCCACAACUGACGCUGAGGCGCGAAAGCGUGGGUAGCAAACAGGAUUAGAUACCCUAGUAGUC
rnacentral:rRNA from 1 species